rnacentral:pre_miRNA from 5 species
UCUUAUGGAUAAGCAAAAGAAAAGUGGUUUCUUGAGAUGGAAUCUAUUUGUGGUGAAGAUGCUGUGGA